CCUACGGGGCGCAGCAGUGGGGAAUAUUGCACAAUGGGCGCAAGCCUGAUGCAGCCAUGCCGCGUGUGUGAAGAAGGCCUUCGGGUUGUAAAGCAGUUUCAGCGAGGAGGAAGGCGGUGAGGUUAAUAACCUCAUCGAUUGACGUUACCCGCAGAAGAAGCACCGGCUAACUCCGUGCCAGCAGCCGCGGUAAUACGGAGGGUGCAAGCGUUAAUCGGAAUUACUGGGCGUAGAGCGCACGCAGGCGGUCUGUCAAGUCGGAUGUGAAAUCCCCGGGCUCAACCUGGGAACUGCAUUCGAAACUGGCAGGCUAGAGUCUUGUAGAGGGGGCUAGAAUUCCAGGUGUAGCGGUGAAAUGCGUAGUGAUCUGGAGGAAUACCGGUGGCGAAGGCGGCCCCCUGGACAAAGACUGACGCUCAGGUGCGAAAGCGUGGGGAGCAAACAGGAUUAGAUACCCCCGUAGUC
rnacentral:rRNA from 1 species